rnacentral:lncRNA from 1 species
CAGCACGAUCUAGCUAUCCUGUUUCGGAUUGGAAGGGGAUGAAGCUAGUCUUCUCUCUGGCAUGGAUAGGCUUUAUUCUCACUCAACAAGUUUCUCACCUUCCAGGGACAGAUGGGCUGGGUCGGGAGCUGUGACAAUAGGAGUUUCAGUCUUAGCCUUUUCUGUGUACCCAGACAAAAGGAAAGAGGCUUAUGUCUUCAGUUGCUUAUUCUUUUUUCUACGAUCGAGGGAGAGUGAAUGCUCCCAUUGAAUCUCUUGAGUGUGGUUAGAAAUCGCAUAAUAAAAAAGAAGAAAGUCCGAUUCCUCUGAUUCCUCCAGUCCUGCCCACUCUUAACUCAUCUUUUUAUGGAAACGAGCGGUACGGUAGUAGGGAAAGACUUCUUGAUGUAGUUCCAUAUACUUUCGACUUUCAUUGAUCUUGCCUUGGUCUUCAGUCUAGCCAGAGAAAGUUUAAAAGAAAGUAGAAUGUUUCAAAAUGAAAAGUAAAACGUAAUACAGUCAUCUCACACGCUAGGCCAAAAAGGCUAUUCUUGCUAAAAAAUCUCAUAAUCGAAUUGCUAGGAUAAAAGUGGUGAUCUCAGGCAGGGAAUACAAUGGAGCACUCCAGUAACCAUUGAACCGGAUGCCUAGAAUAUGCUCUUUUCAGGACAUGAGAAUACGGUCUUUCUCCGCUUAAGCUUAAAAAAGGCUUCCCCCCUAUAAGGUGUGAAGCAUUGAUUUCCCUACCCAGCUAGGAAAGUAUAAGUGAUUGAUAAAGAACUUCUUAGCCGAUCCCAUAAUAGCUUCUUUUCAUUUUCACUCUCAAUGUACAUUCGUGAUAAGUGCUCUUGUGGCUCUUCACUCCAGCCCUGAAGUAUUCUGUGAGCCCAAUCUCUUUCACAUGGGCCCUCCCCCUCCCUCCAGACCGACAAGACCCCAAACCUAACGAGAGAUCUCUCUCUCUCCCUCCCUUUCUUUUUGGGCCUAGGUUUCCGCUUUCUUUGAAACGAAACGGAUUCUUUUGCCCUUAGCCUAUCGGUCGACCCGAGCGCCCAUGAGGUGUGGUCCGAACUCCCCCAAUAAUCACGGUCUACCCGCUUUCUUUUUGAUCAGCUGCCCCUCAACUGCGUCAGAGGUAUUUAUUAAUAACCCAAAGACUUCACUUCCACAUCUAGAUCUAGGAAAUUGGAAGCUACAUCCAUCUCAUUGAGUAUAGAUCCGAGUUCCCCAGAGGCUAGCAAUCAAGCAGAAAUGAAUGGUAUCAGGUGGAAGGACAGACCCACCAUACAGUGUAGUUCGCAGCUAAAGGCGCAAAAGGAAAGAGAAAAAUAGUUAAACCGUUUGACCUCAAAUUGGCGAGGAAUUCAAGGAAUCAUAGGCGCAGAAGGCCAAUGAACAUCGGCUUCAGACCUUAACCUUAGACGUACCGUACUUCCUCAAGAUGAACCUGCUGUAGAGAUAAUUGGGAAUCUUUUAGCCGCUAUUCCCGUACUAUUGUAAACCAGCUUGAUAAAGGGUAGUGGUAGAGUCUCAGUACCACUGAAAGUGCGAUAGUCGGGCAAACAAUCUCCUCUUUUUAUCAUAUCAUAUAAGGUAGGGUAUUGUAUAUAUGAAAAUUCAAAGCAGGUAUAAAAUUCUUAACUACAACCGCUGUAUUCACUCGUGCUUUGUUCAACUCAAAGAGAGUUUCACUCGGGCAAUAAGAGAUAUUCUUUAUAACUGGAUAGGUUGCUGUUUUAGGGAGAAGGUAAGGGUCCAAAGGUAAAAAGUUCUGUUACUCAAGAGUCAAGUAAAAAAAAAGAGGGGUACGAUGAGAUCACCACCGGCUUAUUUUAGAGUGACGGAUCACUCCUAAAAGCAACCUUUCACUUAUCUUAAGUUCUUAAGGGACCGAGGGCGUUAGCUUGGGCUCGGUUAGAUUUACUUGAAGGAAAGGGAAGAGACUAGUCAUUAAAAAAAAGAAUCAUACUGAUGAGUUCCUAUCCGAAGCCCUCUGAUCUUCUCGGGUUAUAAACUUUCAUCUCGAUUAGGUUCGUGUUCGGGAGACAUGGGAAAAGUAGGGUAAAGAAAAGCCUCGUUUCUGGCAAUGUGAACCUUCCUAGCCCGUAUGAUUCCAUCGGGUGAAUUAAUAACUCGAUAAUCCAUCCAAUACUAAUCACUAAUCUAUCUGGAGGGCGGAUAAGACGGCCAGCAUGAGGUUCUCAGUCUCACUCCCUCGAAGAUGCCCUCCGCAGGAAAGAUCCCCUCACGUGGGUGCUAAGACUAGGUCGGGAUCGGGGAAACUCACUUUGGCUGAACCAUCCGAAUCCGAUGCUUCCGCUAAGGCAACUAAGUCUUUAUCAUUCUCUAAUCUUGGAAUGUAAGGGUAAUCUUAAUCGGAGGCUAGAGCUUCAUCUUCCUUUUCCAUUCGUCAAUGACAUUCUUUCUGAAGUGAAUCCCAGUGACUUAAAUAAAGAUAGAGAAAUGUCACAGUACGGUAAGUCUCUUUAUCUCGUAGGAAGGUGAAAGAGAGAGAGGCGAUCGUAGUGAAGCGACCGGAGGGAGUUAGUCAAUCCUACGGCUUCGGGCGAGCAAAUGAACUAAUGGGUGAACUCCUUGCGGGGAAAACUUGAAGAAGGAAAAGCUUCCUUAGCGAAGCGGGAAGGGAAGUCUCGAGAAUAUGGCUCCUAAACUAGUCCAGUUUUGAUUCCCACUUUAGCUGACGAGUUUCAAAUCAGUGUUCAAAACUGAUUGAGGGCUCCCGAAGAGGCUAGUUGACUCACUAUAGCUAUAGUCUCAAUCUGGUAACCAACCAAAGCGCAUGCAUGACUAUGGCUGCCAUUUAUGCAAGCAUUCUCAUUCAUAAGCCCAAAAAGAAGAGCAGUCUCUUCAUAGCACCCAGCACCCUGCAGUCCCUUACCUAUAGCCUUAGAUUUAGAUUUAGAUUUAGAUUUUGAUCUAUGGGUCAGUCUUGCAAAGACGGAUUCCUGGAAGAAGAGCAGGAUUCGGGGUCAGCUCUCUUAUCAUAAAUAAAGAAGUGAAAAUGAAGACUCGGACUCGGCUACCGGCUGCCAAUGGGAUAGCACUAGAGCUACUGCCAUCCUCUUUCCUUCUCUAUUCUUUCGCGCAUUUCAUCUUUUUCCUUUAAAGAAAGAAAAAGGCGGUGGUUAGAAAAGGAAAGCUGGCUCGACCGAAAGACCCUAUUUUGGGCAGCCUAUUCGUAGACAAAGAAAGCCGAUUCGCCAAUUAUUAUUCCUUUACUUUUAAUCAAAGUCUUUCCCGAGGAAGAGGGAAGCCUUUUGUAAGCAGAAGCGUAGCGCUUCGCAAGUGAAGGUGCAGGAUUUGCUUCUUCCCCUUAUAGCGGCUUCUGUUAUUUUCACAUAAAUGUUAUAAUAAAUCCUAUCUCCCCCUAUCUCUACUUCUGCUAACGAAUGCUAGAAUUGGGAUAUCGAGAAAGAAGGUAGACCGUAGAAGGUUCAACAAAGAAAAGCAAGAAAACGUAAGCCUAACCUAUACAAGGGCUUACGUUUUUCAACUACGCACCAUGACUAAUUAGGAACUCACCCAAGGUGUGAAGCGAAAACAUCCUUUAUUGAGACUGGAAAUAUAGAAAAACUUGCAAGGACACACGCACACCAAGCAGUCACUUCCGCACCUGAAGGCAAAGAGAAAUCAUUCCUGGAUGCGAGAUAAGGUACAAGCACUAAAAGAAAAGAAAUGAAACCUAAGGAAGAGGUCCGUCCUGUCGCUUCUUCUUCUCCUCCGAUCAAGACCGGAAGAAGGUAGGUCAGCUCGAUCUAGCUAUCCUGUUUCGGAUUGGACGGGGAUGAAGCUAGUCUUCUCUCUGGCAUGGAUAGGCUUUAUUCUCGCUCAGCGAGUUUCUCACCUUUCGGGGACAGAUGGGCUGGGUCGGGAGCUGUGACAAUAGGAGUUUCAGUCUUAGGCUUUUCUGUGUACCCAGACAAAAGGAAAGGGGCUUAUGUCUUCAGUUGCUUAUUCUUUUUUCUACGAUCGAGGGAGAGUGAAUGCUCCCAUUGAAUCUCUUGAGUGUGGUUAGAAAUCGCAUAAUAAAAAAGAAGAAAGUUUGAUUCCUCUGAUUCCUCCAGUCCUGGCCACUCUUAACUCAUCUUUUUAUGGAAACAAGCGGUACGGUAGUAGGGAAAGACUUCUUGAUGUAGUUCCAUAUACUUUCGACUUUCAUUGAUCUUGCCUUGGUCUUCAGUCUAGCCAGAGAAAGUUUAAAAGAAAGUAGAAUGUUUCAAAAUGAAAAGUAAGACGUAAUACAGUCAUCUCACACGCUAGGCCAAAAAGGCUAUUCUUGCUAGAAAAUCUCAUAAUCGAAUCGCUAGGAUAAAAGUGGUGAUCUCAGGCAGGGAAUACAAUGGAGCACUCUAGCAACCAUUGAACUGGAUGCCUAGAAUAUGCUCUUUUCAGGACAUGAGAAUACGGUCUUUCUCCGCUUAAGCUUAAAAAAGGCUUCCUCCUAUAAGGUGUGAAGCAUUGAUUUCCUACCCAGCUAGGAAAGUAUAAGUGAUUGAUAAAGAACUUCUUAGCCGAUCCCAUAAUAGCUUCUUUUCAUUUUCACUCCCAAUGUACAUAUGGCACAAUAUUACAGGAAGCUUGAAGUGCAGCAUUCCAUUCUCGCAUGUCUAUUCUCUCUUUCUUAUGGUCUAUCUUUCCGUGCGUUCUUCCUCUUCCUUUCUGGAUCAGCUUGGUCAGUUAGUCAUUGCUAGUAGUAGAUCAGCUGCGGGCAAUGCUUGCUACCGAGAACAGAUUUCAUUUUUUUAGGAGAAUUAUAAUGAGGAGGACGAUAGCCCCAAUCACGAGAUAAUAAAAGGAAAAGAAAUGAACGUCAGAUUGGUUCGAAUCCAAUUCGUGAGAAGAAGAAAAGUGAGUUGAGAGCGGGUCUAAUACCUUUCUUUUCCGCAACAAUACGUGCGUUUAGCAAGUUCAAGUAUAGGGUCUUAGUCAUUAUACUGAAUAAGUUGCCUGCUUCCAUGUGACUGAGUCGUCCGAGGUGAGAUGGCCUUUUUCUGGGUAGUUCGAGGGAAGAGGGAAUCGCUAUCGUCUUUCUAAAGGACGGGGAUUUUUGUGUAUUGCUUUGCAGACGCUAACUUGACUUCACUCACUUUAGAGACGGAAAAAAAAAAGGGGCGAAGCGCAUUCAUACCCGGCAUAGUAUAUACUUAUAGUUUCUUGAUCGUCAUGCCCGAUCCGACCUUGACCCAUAUGGUACUGAAACUAGAUUCCAAGUAGAAGACAUGGAAGUAGAUGUAGGGGAUGCAAGAGAACUCCCGCUGGCAGGAAGAGACCUGAAUGCCCUUAUGACAAGACUAGCCCUCCCCAAAAAUAGAAAAAGAAAGGAGAUCUUCUUCCUCAAAGAAAAGCUUUUCCGGAAACUCUCUCACAACCCUCCCCUACAUUAAAUCACUUACAGAAAGGUGAAAGAGACUUCUAGACAAGUUUGCUCACAGAAUUGCCCACUCACUUGAGAACUUAAUUUAUAGUUUUCCUAAUCUCCCUAUCAAAGUCUUACUCGUCAUUUCAUCCCUAGAAAUCCCAUAUACUGCUUGCUUUAUGAAAUGCCCUAUUCCGCUCUAGAAAAAACAUAUUCCGCCCUAGCCGCCUUUGACCUAGCGCCUUCUGCAAAAGGGGGAAUUAAACUAUCAACUACAGAUACGAAUGCUGGUUAUGAAAUAUGUGUUAUAAGUAUGCUUAUAACAGUAGAUCUAGAGAUACACAUAUGGACAGGAUUUUCCUAUGAUACAUAUAUUUGUUAUUUUUCAUUGAUAUAAUAUCAUAUCAAUUUCAUAUAAUGCCAAUUUCAUUAGUAACAGAAUAACACAUAUCUUUAAUAGCGGUAUCACUACCAAAGACAACAAUCUCUACAUUCUCAUUCUCAAGAUUCAACGCUAUUCCUUUCACACCGCUCGCAAAUUCAACCAUUUCCCCAGCUUGAAUCUUGUUCAAUCCAUAAACACGCGCAAUCCCAUCUCCAACUGAGACCACUCGACCGAUCUCAUCCACUUUAAAAUUCGUGUAAAAGUUGGUAAUUCGACUUUCUAAUAGAGUCGUUAGUUCCGCAGCUCUGGGAGAGAAUUCCAUAAAUAAUUCCAUUUUCGAAUUUAGAGUCAAGGAGGAAUGCCACUGAAAAAGAUGCUAUGUAUAUUUAGAUUAGAUCCCCGAGCUGGUAAUUAGAGUUAGAAAGAGGUUUUUUCGGGGAAGGCUCGGCUAUGAGGAAGAGUUAACAAGGGGAUCCAUCCUAAGGAAAACCUUCCCUUUUAAUUGUAGAAAGGUUUCGGAUCCCUUGCCAUUUUGAUUGAGAUCGUCCACAAAGGCAUGGAUAAGGGAAGCUCAAAGAGCUUUCUUCGCAUGCUUGAGCCCAUUAAUAAAAUAUUAAUAUCAUAUUGAUCAAGGCUUUCCUUUAGUUUAAUUUGCAGCUAGUGGUUUCAGAAUAUUCCUUCCGCUAAACGGUUGCGCUAAGUCUUCCUUGGCUUUCCUCCCCUUCUCAGUCCUCGGAGUGCUAGCCAUUAUCCAUCAAGAGAUAGCGAAUAUGUGUUAUCAAACAGCCAUUUGGCGAUGUGAACAGAACUCGUCCUUUUAUUGACAUUGAGACAGAUAGGCUUGUGCUCAUGACAGGAUGUAGUUUAUUCUAGAACUUUUGGUCUCAACAAGAGGUUGCAUGGAGGACGAAGGGAGAAAUCCAGUUCUUUUACUAAGUAUAGGGAAUGUAAUGUGGGGGAAGAGCUUUUUGAGGAAAUUUGAAGCAUCGAGGGGUAGGUGGUUAGGGGGGGCGGCAGGGCUGCCUUUUCAAUCAAUCUCCGGCCGCUCAGCGCCGCUAUUGGUGCGAGUUAUAAGGAGUCUUAGUCUCGAGUCGAGCUGAGGCGUCAUUUCAUUCUCGUAACGGGAGUGAGUGCACCGCAAGACCAGACAAGUUACUCCCUCGCCUCGCAGCGGUGACACCUGCCUUUUAAGUUAAGUCAUUUCCUACUACUGAAGUACCAAAGGUGCGCUCCGCCCGGUGACUAAGAAAGAAAUAGGUUUGCGCUUAAAUUGAAGUGAUGAGGUCGCAAAGAGGGAAGUAGGGCUCCUAUUGAAACGCUUUCCCUCCCUCAAAAGGCGACCAGCUUUCAAUACUAGUUGUUACGUUACACUGCCAUUUUUCCAAUAUCAUUGAAUAGCAUGGCCUGGAGCUAAGGUAACUCAAGUGGGAAAGCCGUGUUAUGGGUGACCUUAUUGCACGGUUCAGAGAGCACUUGUGUAUGUGAUGCAAGUGAACAUGUACGAAAAAGCUGUCGCAAAGUUUCGUUGUUCGUUCCGUCUUUGACCCUAUCUAUGUUUCUAUGAUGGCCCAAGAACACGCUCAUUCUUCAGCCGUAGAGAGACUUUUGAAUUGCGCGGUACCAUUACGAGCUCAAUAUAUACGAGUGUUAUUCCGUGAAAUAACUCGAAUUUCAAAUCAUUCACUUGCUUUAACUACUCAUGCUAUGGAUGUGGGAGCAUCAACUCCAUUCUUGUGGGCUUUUGAGGAGCGGGAGAAAUUGUUGGAAUUCUAUGAAAGAGUCUCGGGAGCCAGGAUGCAUGCCAAUUUCAUACGUGUAAAAUAAGUAUUUGUUAUAAGCUCAGAGGAAGCUAGCAUAUAUUGUUAUUUUGUUAUACCUAUUUAUACUAAACCAGAGCAUUCAAAGUAACAGUAGAUCUAGAGAUACAACAACAAGGCAAUGGGGCCUACAAAGCCCCAUUUAUACCACCACUCAAAACGACAACUCAAAACACCAAUUAUGAAACCCCCUCUCUCCCACUUCACACCUCGGAACGUACCGUUCUUAUAGAGAGAAAGGCGCUUUCACAUCUUCUUAACCCGAAAUGGCUGGGGAGAGGAAAGGUUCCUUUUUUUAGGGUACUCCUGGGAACAGAUCCAGUGGAGACGAGGUGGGGCCUGUAGCUCAGAGGAUUAGAGCACGUGGGACAGGUGAGGGAAGGAAGAAAGAUCUCUGAUCCAGUGGAUGCUUGAAAGUGAGGUAAGCCGAUCCCAUGAGAAGGGUUCGAGCCGAGCUGCUUUAGCUAGUAGAAAGCGGUUAGCGCCUGUCGUAAAGGGCAUUAGGUUCUGAAAGAAGACCGGAAGACCGGGUUGUGACAAUAAAAAUUUUUCCUAUUGAUUUGAGUACCGAUAUUAUCAUUUUGUAAAAUAUUAAAGGUUGACAAGGUACGGUACGUCAGUUCCGGGACUUAUCUUGAGAAGGGGAGUUUGAAGCCCGCCCUAUGGAAGGUGGGAUUCGAACGUCACGUCUUUAGUUAUGCCGGGAAGUGGGUAAGGUCAAGUUGUACCCGAUCUACUGAUCGAUCGUAGACCAGUCUCGUAGUUGAUUCUUCGGCUGUUUUUUAUUCUUCUUUAAAGGAUGCACGGAGCCUGUCCCGGGAUUGAAUCUUGUUCAGUGAAGCGAAGAAGGGUAAUAUUUUUAUCACCUCUCACGAGGGAGUUAAAGCCUCUCUGAUUGAAUGCGGGUCUUGUGUUAUAGGAGCCGAAGCUGCCUAGUCCUUUAGGUCAGUCAGUUAGCCCACUACGCCAUCAGAAACUGGAUUAGAGCCUAGACCUCCACUUGCGGAAAGAUCACCGCGUAAUGGAGACUCGCUUUUGAUUAACUAGCUUGGCUCGCAUCCGACCAUGGGGCGCCCUUCACUUCAAUCCUCACAAAAGAGAAGAAUUAUGUCCAAAAAUUUGCCUUUAUAGGCCUUACUAGUUGUUGCUGCUGGAACUGGUACUUAAGUCCUGUCCUGGAAAGAUAUAUGUUAAAUAUCCUAACAAAGCCUAGUAGUUCCCCUUCGGGCACAUGUCUAUCAUAUGAACAAGGAGGAAGAAGUUGAUGCUUUAACAGCAUAGCGAACCAGAGUCAAUCUGAUGUAAAAUUGGCAAAUAUGCCUCUUUCACGGCGAGACUGACCAGGUCGCUUACGAUCCAUUGGCAGAGCCUUCCAAGUCGGUUCCCACGAUAUUCCCUGGUAAAGGGGGCGUGAGAGGGCUUGAGAUAGGUACCGAUUGGUUCCAUAGCAUCUGGGGCUGAAGCCCUGUUCUAGUUACUAUAAUUAGUGUAGCACCUUUAUUUUCAGGGCUUACUUCGGAGAGUACCGCUGCUAUUGUUUGAGUAUAAUCCUGGUAUCCUUCUACAAUCGUCUUUGUAUGGGUACAAGGGACAGAUCAUCUAUACUUUAAUAUGUAAUUUUUUAUUUUCAUUUCAGUAAUAAAUCCUUCUUGCUACUAACCCGCACCUACUCAUAAGCAUCUUACUUGUGGGAACUGAACCCUCUAAAGGACCCAUUCAUUCACGACGACCUCCCACUCACUGGACUGAAUGGACUUCCCACUCGCACUGUUCUUGAAGGAGGGGGAAAGCUGGAUGCUGUGGCGCUGGUUGCUCAAUUGGACCUGUAUUUUGACAAGCGGGCUGAUUCCCGCUUGCUUCGGAGCUUUCUCCAAAGUUGCUCCCUCGGAUCAAUGUCCAGUCGGAGUUGCCCCAAAAGUACUCUCACCGUCAGGUGAAACAUUGUGAUUAGCCAAAGAAAGUUCCCAUCUCAAAGUAACUAUACCUAUAACACAUAUUUCUUCUUUAUUGGUUAUGUUAUACACAUAUACCGCUAUCAGUAUAAAGGACACAUAUGUUACAAUUUCUUCCUAUUUGACCCGAUGCCGUACCCUUCAUGUGUUCAUGAUACAUGGCCGGGGUACAUAUUCCACAAAAAUAAGGUUCGACUACGAGGAUUGAUAAGUUGUUCAUUUUGUAACCUUCACCUCUAUCUAUACAGUUUCAUUUCUACGUCUUCGACGAGCAAGACUUCACUGCUGACAUAGGGUGAGGUUUCAACCCUCAGCCACUAGUGGAAGACCUUUCAAAGGAAAAGGUUGGUUGGGAGCGGGAAGGAGUCAAUUAUAGAAAGAGUAGAGACGGAUAUUGGAACUCUAGCUCUGACCAUGUCAACUAUGAUGGUUUCGCUGCUGCCAGUCCUUCCACUAGUGAAUGCUGGCACGCGGUACUUUCCAAACCCCCAUGUCUAGAUCCUGCCGAAAAAGACUGAAGCGGAUCUAAUUCUAUGAAUUAGCCUCGCCGAUCGAUCUUAGCACUAUGCUUAGCACAUGAAAUUUUUAAGUGUGUUUUCGGGGCGAAUCCACAAAGGUCAGGAAGAGAAAGGACGACUCUAUCUCUUUAUCUCUAUCUUUUAGUUAGCCAGGAUUUUAACCUAUCUCCAGAAAAGAAAGCAAGCUGAGCAGUUCUCACUCUAUCUGGUGACCAAGAAAGCUUGCUUAAAGAAUGCCGUAAAAUGAUCACAGAAAAUACCGAUUCGCCAUGGAUGAUACGAUUCAAAGAGACAAGAACCUAUUCGUGCAGCCUAUUCUUGUUCCAAUCGUUUGAGGAAAGCCCGUUUUUUGGCAUCAAAGAAACUCUGUGAUCUAGGAUUAAAAACCUCAUCUCGUUCAGUCUGGGAGAUAGUGGAAUUUUUUCUUUAAACCCGUACAUACACCUUUAAUUUGAAAGGUAUUAGUAGUCAAUCCUCUCUUCAUUCUUUACUUCGCUUCCUUUCUUUCAUCUGUGAGAGACUGGAUCUACUGUCUCUAAUUCAGCAUCUUCCUUUCAGUGGUUUUAUUUUUAUACCCUCCCGUCACGAGCUAACUUGAGAGCUGGGUUAAGAGCAACUAAGGAUAAUCGGGGUAGGGAUGGGACUAAAGAGACUAUUUGUUUACAGCCAACCAUGAACAGAGUUCAGAGUCGAUUCGGUAAUUAAGAGUCAAUCUAGUAUGGUAUGGCCAAUACCUCCCUGGCCUUGAGCCUGCUUCUGCUUUAUCUGCAGAUAGGAUGUCGGAAAGAGGAUUCUAAAUAGAAAGAGUCCUUAUCCUUAUGAAGAGACAGUAGGAGAUAGAUCCAUUCCUUCCAUUACGACUGGGGCCUUAUUUUUUUAAUAAGGGAAUGAAGCCUGAUCCUUUAUUUCUAUUUUGAUUAAUCCCCGACCGGGUCUGAAGCCGCAUAGAUGAUUAGCUAUUGGAACGAGAAUGAGGACGAUGAACCUGGUCAGUAGGGACCCAUGGAUCUCCAUCUCUUCCUCUCCCGAUCUCCCUAUGUUUGGUGGAGAGGAAAGUCGGACAAAGAUGAUCCUGUUGUAGCCUCCUUUUCUGAUAUAGGGGAGUGAUAAAAAGUUCCAUCCAUUAUGAAUGCAUCAAUUAUCGUCCAGUCUAGUCGUCGGGGUUCAUCUGGCAGUUCAUUCGCCUCUUUUUCGGUAUGAUAAACUACAAGCUCUUUCAUUGUGGGAUAUUUCUUAUCCUAAGGAAUAAGAAUAAUAGGUCGAUCAAAGCACUCCGUGCUUUUCGAGGCGCUGCCUGUGACUCAGCAUGAGGCGGAACUGCACACUCUCGUGUUCAGAGCAUUGUCCGAGUGAGUAGGCAGCGCUCCUCCUCCUUCUCCUUCGUAACCUUCAUCGUUGUUGGACAUGCAGGGAAACUUACACGUGAGGUUCUGGCCGGGGACCCUGGUAUACUGUACUAAUAUGUGUAGGUCGCACACCCCAUUCUUCAACCCCCCCUUUUUUUGCCAUUGUCACUACUGGUACCUGACCCCGUCGGCUCAACAUUUUUGCAAACACCGACCCUUACUCAAUAGGGCAAUGAAAAGAGGAGAACGAGGACAGCUGACUACCACUAAAAGUCAGACUACGAGUACACAUUGUAUGAUUAAAAACUGCCGCUGCGUACUAUCCAGUGCUUGCAGGUCUGACUGGGCAAGACAAGAGAAGAGGACUGGUCGCUUCGCUUGUAUCUUCGGGAUACGAAUUGGCGGUCUUUCUUUACGAGCACUAGGACGUACGUACUAACUAUGGAUUUAGUAAUAUGCGAUUUUAUAUCUAGGAUGGGUUUGGCUUUGCCUGUAGCUAUUCUUGUAGGCGUUAGGGCUGGUCGAAUGUCCAUCAAAUGAAUAGUCUCAAUAUGGAAACCAAAAUAACUGAUUUAGCGAUAGAUGUUGUAAAGGAUAAAAUUGUUAACCAACUAGAAUUUUUUUCAGAGUAUACUAGGGAUACUACUGGAGAUGUGAACUUUCCAACAGGAGUCAACCUCCAAGAGGUAGUCGAACGUCUUUUUUAUUCGAUAACUCUUUGAGUGUAACGGCUCACGCUCAUGAUGGCUUUGCUCUAACGUUAGGAAGUCCUCUCUUUCCUUGUAUGGAUUUCUUAUGAGUGAUUCAUAUGCUUUAGCUGGAGUAGGAUUCUUUCUCAAGCUAGCUUACUCUACAUUAUCAUAUGUAUGGUUUCGCGGGCAUGUCCAACCGUACCUUUCCACUUGCCAAUUCAAAGUCUAAAAACCGGUCAAUAAGACAGAUCCGGAUCCUAGUGCUUUCGAGAUGGUUCGAUCACUAACAAAGACAAGCAUGGGAAACAGCAGACUCUCAACAAGCAACUCCAAGAGCUCAAGCCUAAAGCUUUAGUAACGUGCAUCCUCAUUGCUCGCGUAAAGCAAGCGUAGGCUCGAAGGCCGAAGUGCGCUAGUGCUCGUUGCAUUUCCCUCCUAGUCGGGUAAAGUAUUCUGCUCGUUUGCUGUCAGGAAUUCAGUAGAGUGGCCGGUCGUUGAAAGAAGCAAGCCUAUAGCUCGAGUGGCAUUUCACCCCUAACCACAACUUAUCCGCUGAUUCUUCAACAUCAGUCAGUUCGGACCUCCACUUAGUUUCACCCAAGCUUCAUCCUGGUCAUGGAUAGAUCACCCAGGUUCGGGUCCAUAAUCAGUGACAAUUGCCCUAUGAAGACUCGCUUUCCCUACGGCUCCAGUGGGUUCCCUUAACCAAGCCACUGCAUAUUAGCUUUCUUUAAUAGAAUUUGAUUUCGAGAAAAUGUAAACCUUGACCACAAGUUGAGAACAAGAGUAAAUAGCCCUUCUAUCGAAGAAGAGCAAAUCUCUCUUGAAAGAAAAGUGAGCCCUUUCUUAGUUGAAGGAUGGACCUUAACUAGCCCGAAUCCUUUUGCCUUGGACUUCAUCCUGAUGUUCUUUGUAAGCGAUAUGAAAUCUGUUAAGUGUUGAAGUAAAGGGUCCAACUCUAUCCCCGGCUAUACGUCCAUUUCUCGGGGGCUCACCUGCGUACCUUUGAUUCUCUCUUACUGUAAGUCUAGAUCGGAUUUCUACCCAGCAGAGGGAGCUCUACUUAUUUCAUAACAUUACUGGUUACAGCGAGAAAGAAGAUCCUAACAAACGGCGCUGCUCAUUCAGCGUUUCACAAGAGUCAAGCAAAGAAAAAAAAAGGGGAUACGAGCAGAAUUGAACCGAUGAUUGACGGUCUGACCUUACAGGGCGUGACUCGUCGUCCUUAAAUAAGUUAUUUACAGAUCUCAUCUAGCACCCUAGCUAUCUUUUAUCUCACAUCGGGUUGGAAGGACUUCUUAGCCAACUAUGUUGGGACAAAGAAAGCUCUACUUUGAGUAGCUGGGUGCAUUAACCUCUUUCUUUCACAGGAGAGGAGAGACUGGGGAAUGGGUCGAGUAAACUCCCCUGGGGCCGAAAAAAUAGCAGACGAAGCUUUACAACGCCCAAAGCCAACCCUUUGAUUGGUAUUGAUUUUUUUCUUAGUGAUUGAUUGGAAAGGAGGGCGCUUGGGUAUGUUUGGGAGCAUCGUAGCGGUGAAGCUCUCUCUUGUUCUGGUUGAAAGUGAAGGCGAAAGAGAGUGAAGUGAAUCGGUCCCGUCUACAGAGCAUGCCACUAUGCUUGACACAUGCAAUUGCUUUUCUUGGCACUCUAGUUAGUGACUUCUCUCCCCUCGCCCUCGGUGACCUACCUGGAGAGCUAACUGCAAAGAAGGAAGAACGACUUUUUUUCUUCUUCAGCACUCACUAUCAGAGUCGGCAAGAGGAAGAAGAGUUUAUGAAAGCAUUUCCUUAUUAUAUUAGAUCGUACGAUAUUUAGUACAACGGGUCAUUUUUGUAGGAGGGGUGGAAGAACAAAGGAAAGAGCGUCAAUCAUUCAUUUUUUUGUAAGAAUCAAUGGGAAAAUCUCAAAUUGCUCAAGUGGGCUCUUCGGUGUAAUUUAGUCAAUCGCCUCUAAAAUAUCCUGUGGAAUUCGUAGGAAAAGCGUAAGAAUCAUUAAGAUUCCAGACAGAAUCCGAAAAUUAUCUUACGGAUCAAGAGCUUCCCUUCAUUCGCUUCGCGGCAGCUGCACAGCACAUAGCUGGAAGUCAGAGGGCCCAUACUACCUGCCUAACCCUUCGCUCUGAGGGACCGUAGAUCGGAAAGCGCCUUCUAAACCACCCCAUUUAUCCAAAAGAGAGGGGAAGGGGCCUAUGUAUUUGCAUAACCCUUGCAGAUUUUACCCUAUCUACACCCGGAGCCAAUCCCCUAUCGGUCCUGCCACCACGCAAUGCCAGCAGCAAGCAAGACGAGGUUCGUAGACAAGGCUCGUUCCGUACUUGACUUACGCUAAAUUUUAGUACUCGCCUCUAUCUCUAAAGGGGCUUAUGCACUCCACUCGCUAUUUACUAAACGAGCGACUCGUAGUUGACGGGCGAGAGACGAAAGGUGGGAACUUCGGAGUGAUGUUAAGGCCCCGAAGGCCGCAAAGUGGCCCGGCGGAAGGGUUAAUAAGUCAAUUUCCCACGGUCAGGUCAAACCUAGUAUAUAGCUUCUAGUUCGACAAGACUAGCAAAGAUGCUACCAGGCCUAGCUACCAAGGAUGGGAAAGCAAAGGACAGAGAAAGUCAAGCCGUCUCUUUCUUAGAUUGACGUGAAAACUCCUAUUUCAUUUCCCCGGUCUUACCCUACUUUUUCGACUAUUAUGAGGCACUGUAGCCCGCUAACGGUUACCUGCGAGCGAUGAUUUCAACCAUUAUAGCUGGCGUCGACCCGCUUUCUUUAAGUCAUUCGAUCACUCGAGAGUACUUUUUUCUAUCGCAAUCUCUCUGGUUUUGAGUCCACACGGAUAAUAUAAAAGUAGAGCGUUGAACUGUAUUGAUUUUACCCGAUGCUCAAGUUCUGAGUGGGCGUAGGCGCACAUUCUCAAAGGUGGAUUUGAUAAGUGGAUACAACCAUGGUAUUGGUUGGGUGGGAAGACGAAUGGAAGAUGGCCUUCAGCACAAAGGAGGGCCCGUAUGAGUGGCUCGUGAUGCCGUUCGGUCUCACCUCCUGUGAGCAAGCAAGUUUUCAAUAUAGGCCAGUAACUUCGUGUACCUUAGGAGAGCGGGUAAGAUCUUUCCAUUUUAAAAAGAGAAUUCGUUUAACUUUAGGGAAUUGAUUUGCUUAUUGCAAAACCUUGCCAAAGUGGAGGUUUUUUUUCCUAAACAAUCAGUCAAUCCAUUAAGUCAAGUUCGGCGGUAAAGCAAGGAAUGAGAAAUGCCAGUUCUGGCAGAAAGGAAGGAAGCGUAGUCCUUUCAGUGAUGUAAGUGAACAAGUCAUGGAACUCUUGUUUCGAGUGAAAUGGAGAGCAGUGGCCCGCACCGCAUUCACAGGUAAAUUUCCCUCUACAGGGCGGGGGUGGGAAAGUGGGCUUGAGGGUUCCCAUUCUCCCUGGGAGAGAAUACUAUACGAUUAGUUUCCCCAGUUGUACAUACACAGAUUAAAGAGGAGGUAAAGGCCUGGAGAAUCCCCAACGAAUCGAAUAAAAGGUAAGAUAACCAGGGACGUAGCGCUUUGAUUCAAAGUUUCUAUUUCUAUAUAGAUACAAAGGCCUUUGAAAGACCCAAAUAGUAAUAAUCCCCGCCGUUAAAUGAUUUUUUUUAUAAAAUAACUUCCCCGUGAAUCGAUUUAAGUAUGAAAGCUUCGUGCCCCUCACCCGAGCUUUUGUAUUUUUAGGGGAACUAAUGACCGUUUUGUAUUCUUGACUUACAUUUAGUUUGUAUUUUUAGGGGAACUAAUGACCAUUUUGUCUUCCUAUUUAUUUGAGCCCUUCUGCCAAUUAAGUCUCCAAUACCUUGAAAAGCAGAAGAUGCAUAGAAUGAUAGUGGCAUCUUUGGCAAGCGAACCCAAGCUACCACCGAGUCAAUGGUAUCUUCAGAUGAGAUAAACCCCUGAGUUCAACGGCCGAUUCGCUUAAUGAGAGGGCGCCUUACUAAAUAGGGGCACUUAGCUUUCCCACGGAGGUCAGUGAGAAGCUUGUAAGUUCUGCUUUAAGCUAUGGGCAGCCCCUGCUUAAGAGCGAGUUUCUUUUCCAAAAUUGGCUUUUCAACUUCAUUGUUAGCCGAGCUUCAACUCCGAUUUCUCAAAACCUUCUUUUCUUGGUCUAGCUUCCAUCUAGACUACUUAGGUCAGCGCGCUUCGCUGGAGUCAGAUAAACUGCGUGAAGAGAUUCAAUCGCAGUCUGCUACUAAGCUUCCUGAGGCACCAGUGAUGCACCCUCCUACUGAAUCCCCAACGUAGAGGUGCCCCAACCUACUCUGUCCAAGCACCCUACCAAGGGUAAGAAGCCAAAGGCCAAUGACACUAGCUAACCACAACUGAGAGAGCUACCCUAGAUGAAUUAGUUGCGGCCUAAAAAUUUAGAUGUCUGCAUGACGUAACAUAAGUAGGAAGAGCAAAAAGAUAAAUGAGUGAAUUCCACAUCCCGGUAUUCCACAGUUCAUUAUUCAUUGAAAGCGGCCGUUGCACUGAUAGGGGUGUAAUCUAAUCUAUCUUUCAUGUCAUUUCCUUGCGGAUUAGCUAUUCCUGUCCUCUUGUCAAUUCCUAAGCUUUGCUUCCCCGUCCCCCCUAGGCUCAGUCCCCUUAUGAAUAAAAAUUAACCAGGAUAGGCCUCUUCUUCAUACCGAAGAAAAAGUCACUCGAAGUAGUCAGCUUAUUAGCAGUAUAAGAGGAAGCCUAGCUAAAUAAGUAUGUAAGAAGCUAGCGGUAGCAAAGUGUUCUCCUGCAUCCAUCUAGAAAGUCGUAUUAGUUCAUUAACCGCCCCACCCUAUUAAGUCAGUUCGAAGCAAGGAUUUCCGCUAGUAGCAGAAGGGAUUCUCAGGUGAGAGGCAUUCGUCUAGCUAAGAGUGAAGCGCGUAUGGAUUUGAGUACGAAAGGCCCACCCCAAAGAGCGAAUAGUUCUUACACAAAAGUUUUUUGAAGACUUCUUGCUUCUGUUUCCCUGCUUACUAUUGCUAUCACCUCAACUGCUUUCGACUUGCUCACUUAGAAUGAAGAUCAAUAAUAAUAAUGGGCAGAAAGGCUUUACACAAGACCACAGAGCGAGAGAGAGAGCCUAAAAGUUUUUUAUAAAAGCGGAUGCUCUUUGCCCUAAAUAUUAAAUUAGUUAAGUCUAAACGCCCUGCAAUCAAACAAUCGGAAAGCCUUUUGACAACCUUACUAAUAGAAAGGGGAAAGAUGCGCUCAAUCCAUUGCUUGUUGCUCCAAUAGGCAAUCAACAUGAUUGGUCCCGUCCCAGUUUAAGUAGUUGGAUGUGAGUGCAUCGGAUAAGCGAAAGCUAGCAGUAGAUCAAUAAAAGAAAUCAUAUGGAUUUCAACCUACAGAUGAAGAAUCAACUUCAUUGUUCCCACCAUCUAUAUUAUAUCAUCCAAGAAAGAAUAACCAAUAUUCCCCAAACAUUUUAUUUUCUCGCGAAAGAGGUUCAUACUCAUUAAGGAAUUUCUCAUCUUUGAUUUGAUGUUGGGAUCAGAUAUCCCACAACCCCUUUAGUUUAGACUGAAAUCUUUGUCUUUGGUGAAGCUCCACCUUUCUCUCCAAUUCCCCCCUUCCCCACGAUCCUAUAAGCUGGAAUUUUUUAUCGACAGGAUUUGACCUGAACUCUCCUCUCUGUACCGUAUCUAUCUCUUCUAGCAAGCUAGAAAAAGAGUGAAAAGCUUUUCCUUCUCCCACGUUAAGUGUUGUUCCCGGAUCACUAACAAGAACUACCAGAGUUUGAGACUCAAGCUAUAGGAUCCUUACUCUCCUCUCCUGGGAUUAUCAGAGUGUCAGAUUAGCCUUUGGAUUCGUUCUGCCUUCCACUCUAUAUCCAAUCUUUUUCCCUACCAGUCGCUCUCUUUGGCCGGACUAUCGCACAUGACAGGAGCUGGUUUGCUAGCUUAUUAUUGGACUUAUUUCCGGGAAAACAAGUCCGGGCUUGCAAUAGAGCUGGCUAUACUUGUUAUGAAAUGGGAAGGAGGGAACUAGGCCUACUUACUAAACUCUACCUCCACUACGGUAGCCUCGUAACAUGUUGACGAAGACCUUCGAACUGAGGGUUCGAUCAGUAGAGGGGACGACUUUGCCCCCCGGAAAAAGAAUAGCCCCGCUCUCUAGCCGACUGAUCCCGUUGAUCAUGUAUAGUAGGGUAUAGUAUAGUAGGCGAGCGAGUUAGCGAAGACGCUUAGGCUAAUAGAUAAGAGAGCGUCAGUGCGUAGCCUUCAUUCUACUACGCUACGCAAAGGUUACGAGCCGAAUUUACCCCUUUAGUAGAUUGUGAGCGGGUCUAGUGAAGUUUGGGGAAUCCUGUAAUCAUAGAAAACUUUUUGUCUAUAUCAACAAUGACUCGUAGUAAAGACAAGAUAGGCUUUGACUCAUUUUAAGGUAGAGCUCUUAAAGUCCUACUUCAAGGCAGUUCCUUAGUUAAAGCAAGGAGAGCAGAAAAAGAGGGAAAAAAACCCAAUGUUCUUACGCGGGUUGAGAAUAUGCUCCUCCUUCCGCUCUGGAUCAGUACGAUACACACUAACCCCACCAGGGAUUAGUGUUGCAAGGUUGAUAGACCCAAGAGCCGAAUCCCUUGAAUUCUCCCAACCUAGUGAUCGUGGUUCAAAAAUUUUAUGACUAUGAAACGGUCCGAAAUGAUCUUCCAGUUCUGGGGAGAAUUCGCAAAACUCCGUUUCCAUCGAGAAUUGAAUGGAGUUUUCUCGUAUUUCAACCGGAGAAUCUAACAGAGACAUUACUAUCGCGAUUCUGAUCGAAAAAUUAGACAUUCCAUGCCCUCGGAGAGUGCUUUGGCGUGCCAGGUCACUGACAUAUCCUUUGUCUUUAUUUGAUCCGGUCUUAAGCCAAUCAGUCCGAGUAGGCAGAAAGCAUAGGGGCAUCAGUGCGAUUGAUUCCCCCUUACUCUCUCCCUAUAAAAAAAGCCCUUCUUAGUAAAGCUUCGGCCCUAUGGAGUAAAGGGAAGUGCUGAUCUUGAGUGUUUAGACGAGAAAUAAAGGCUAUGCAGCAAGCUGAGUUGUAUCGAAACAACAUUUUCUGGACAUACGAGAAAAGAGUCCAGCCGAGCAUAUUUGUUUGGACAAAUCUGUUCGGAAACAGAGCUCUUUUAUCGAGGAAUUAGACCUGCUAUUAACGUCGGCUUAUCUGUCAGUCGCGUCGGGUCUGCCGCUCAGUUGAAAGCUAUGAAACAAGUCUGCGGUAGUGAUGAUGGCUCCAAUAGCAGGUAAGGAACUUAAGCUACCACUGACAAAGAUGCUAUGUAUAUUUAGAUUAGAUCCCCGAGCUGGUAAUUAGAGUUAGAAAGAGGUUUUUUCGGGGAAGGCUCGGCUAUGAGGAAGAGUUAACAGGGGGAUCCAUCCUAAGGAAAACCUUCCCUUUUAAUUGUAGAAGGCAUAGUAUAGAAAGGCGAGAAAGACCAGGCAAGAUCCGAGUUGAAAUUGAUCCCAGACCCGGUAAAUAGGGGUUUUCCUAGCUCCAGGGAAAUGGAUUUUUGAACGAUCCCAAGUGCCAAGUUAUACAAUUUCUUAGAGCGUAGAAAAAGCUUAAAGCAAGACCCGUGACUAUGAAAAAUGACUGCUCAAUCGAGACUUGAGUCACCCUGGAGUAAGUCAAGCCACAUACUCAACAACGUCUCUGUCUGAACUGUGGAAUUCUUAAAUCAAAAAUCGAAACACACUCUAAUAGGCCGUCCCCCGACUUACGGCCUUUACGCUAUUACUAUUGUGAUGUGAGCGGUUCAAAUUGGUUUGAUCUUUCCCAAUUAUCCUGGCCGGAACUUGUACGCAGCACUUAUACGGAGGUGCAUGCAUAAAGGUUUGAAACUAUUUUCUUAUCUUAAUCUAUUCUUAGGGGAAGUAGUGUAUUUCCUGGAGAAUAAGUUCCAGCCGAUGCAAACAAUCGUAAUGAUCCCUACGAGGUUAGCUGCAGUAUAUAGGAGCCUUUAGGUCCAGGUGAGUUCCGCAGUUGCCCUGUCUCUGUAAACCCUUCUUCAGAGCCUGCCCCCCCAUCUACUCAAAGGAAAGAAAAGCAGUUAUCAUUAGAAAACUCCUCUGGGUUCGUUAAUGCAUAUACUAGGGACAUCCUUAGUUCUGCAGACAUCUUCAAUGCAUCGUAUACGCUGAGGAGUGUAGGAAUCUUUUUGAGAUGAGCUAAUAUGUCAUAGCGAACAUGUUGUCCAUUAGCCGCUAAUGUUUGACCAGCAAGCAUUCCAUCGACAAGCCUUUGCGAAAAUCAAGGAGACCUUAGCGAACGCCCCAGUGAUGAUGGCUUAGCAAGAUGAGAGCAAGCAUUAGAUGAAGCCGAGUUUGUCCAUCUCGCAUAUUCGAGAACAAAUAGCCUUCAGAUUGUGGGAAUUAAAAUGCAUCGGAAUAUGUCUUUCGUCACCAGCUAAUUAAAAUUUAGGGUGGACAUAGAUGAGGAAUAAUAUAUGAGGAAUAAUGGUCAAUCUUUGGUGUGUAUCCGCAAGAUAGAAGAGAAGCUCGGGGAUCCUGCUUUGGCGUUGUCUGGGCCAAGAGCCAUAGUUAGUUGCUGUUUCUAUUUGGUUGUUUUUUUCUCGUUGUUGAUACCGGCAAGACCCAGCCAGAUGAUGUCUGCUGGUUGCCUCGGGAAUUGGGCCUCUGGUUUUUGGUAGUACAGGGAAGAGGUGAAACCCAGUUUCUGAGGGGCAACUAUGGGAACGAGACUAAGUCCUCUCGAAUGAUACCUGGCUUCGACCCGAAGCGAUCGGCCCUACCAGGCAACAUCUACCUACACAAGCUCGAUCAGGAGAUAAGGAGGAUCCGACAGAAGUACGAAAUUCCGAUUGUUCAGAAAAUCAGAUCGGUUCUAUUAAGGACAGGUCGUAUUGAUGACCAAGAAAACUCUGGAGAAGAAGCAAGUCAAGAAGUUAUCCAUUUCCAUAUGCUUAGCACAACAAAAUGGGCAAUCUCAGCUCGGAAUUACUCUAUAACCUUGCUCACUCUAGAACCAGGGGGAGACUCACUGGCCGACUCCUACUCCUACUCAUACAAGGCUAGCUUAUAGGAUAGUUUUCUCUAGCUUACUUUGAAUCACCUUACCCUACUUCCGAAAAAGGGUGACCAUAGAACGAUGGAUUCGCAAUGGCUUUUUCUGAUAGGGGCUCGCUUCUUCAAGCUUGCGAAAAUGAGCCCGAAAGAAAGGGGGGAUAUUCUCUGCUCUGAGAAUAAUAUUAUUAUUAUAUUCCGAAACGAAAGAAUCAGCCUGACAAGCCUAUGAUAGAAGAAUAAUGGAGAACAUGUAACACAGCAAAUAAGGAUUUUUGGAGCAGCGGAAUGAAAGAUUCUAAAGCCAUUCUUCAGCUUUCGUGGGGUACAAGAGAGGAGAUCAUUCCAUCCAUAACUUUCUCUACGAUAAGUUUUCUAUUAUAAAUCUUCGCUUCGAAUUUUUUUUUAAACAAUUGUUGCUAACAACCUUGGCUAGCUUUCUACAAAAUAGGAUAGGAGUAGACUUAUUAAGGAGUUGAUAUUUCAUUCCCAAUUCUUCUUAAGCCUGCGCCUUCGGAAUGGGUCAUGGAAGGCUAAGAGUUGAAAAAAGAAAAGGAAAGGUUUUCUUGAUAGCACUGCCAUUCACCUUGCAGAACCCGAAGACUUCAAAUACCAAUAUCACACAUACCCUGGAGACUGUUCCCACUCUUCUAUACCAGCCUAAGCCUAGGUCAAGAGGGAAAGCUAGCCUCACUAUACCGAUCAUGGCUUCUGCACCGAAGUACAUCCCAUCGACGUUUCCGUGGUAGAAAGUAUAAUAAUAGCGGAGGUUUGUAUCGAAGCUCUCAAGCGGCCCGGCCUAUGCCAAGAGGGUUACAGCGGGCAAUCAUUAAUACGCCUUGGGGAAAGUCAUGCACCUGGUCGAGACGGAUAAAGGAAAGAUUCUCUCACCGAAAACAAGUAAACGAAAUAAUUACUAGUGCCCGAUCGAAAUGUCACGCAUUCAGUUGAGUCUGGUGCGGGCAGGAGGAGGGUAUUUGCCGUAGGAAACUAUGUCAAUCAGAGGCUUCUCCGACCUCUCCAUAAUUGGUUAAUGGAGGCGUUGGGAGAUCUUAAGUAAUAAUAAAUUUGAUUCCCUUUCGUCUUUUGUGAUCCCUUUAAUCGAUUACAGUCCACGAAUGACUUGACUUCAAUAUAUAUCUUAUUUACAGUUCCUACCUUUGCUUUGAACUAAACCUCUUUAGCAGUGCCUCUCCCGCGACCUUGGCUUUUUAGAGAAUCCCGCUCCUGUUGAAUUUUAUUAGGUCCCAAUGAGAGGGGACCAGGUCUUGCGACGGAUGCAAGCUAGACUUUGAAGCAAAAAAUCCAAGAUUUCAUAGAAGAAGGAAAAAUCAACGUGGCGGAUGAACAGGAAGCUCUUAAGAACCCCAAAUUAAUAAUUAAUUUAAUAAGGCGGUUCAGACGUUUUAUAAGACCUUUCUAUCAGUGGUCCACUUUCAUCCAGCUUGAAAUAAACAUCCGAAAGACAAGCAAUAGCUGUUUUAAAAUGCAAAGGUUGACUUUAAUUAACAGGCUCAAGGUCAAUUUCUUUUUGAGUUCCCGGCCCAAGUCAAGGCGAUGCAAUAGUCGGGCGAUAAGGAAGAAGCAGUCCCAGGCCUUAGGUCGGCCCGCUCUGAAGUGCCUCGACGCGCCGCAGCCACUACUUUGUUUGACUCCUUUUAUGCAAUUUAAUUAUAAAAAAUUGGUGUGGAUAUGUCCCUAUAUGGAUAAAAAAGCAAACCACGAAAAAAAAUAAUAUAUAGAAACGACUUCUGACAUCACCACAGCCCAUUUUAAAGAAAAAUAUCAAAGUUACGAGAUGAUAUUUUUUUGACUUUAUUUAAGUCACUUUCGAGGCAAAACGUGCUCCUGCCGUGUCAGAAGGACUUUCCCCGCUACAAGAAUAGUUGAAGAUAGGGUCCCAGUUCAAAGCUUUAUUUGUGGAAAGGCUCCCUAGAUUAGCGAGAACACGAAAAAUUAGAGUCUUUCAGAGUCUUCUCCAUCCGCGUUUCUACUUAGAAUAGAAGUGGCAAUCUUUCUAGCGCCUGAGGCAAAAGUAAAGAGAAAAAAAAAGAAGCAAGACUGGUCUUUGCCAGAAAGUCGAGCAUCCUGGAUCUAUGGGGACAUCAAGAUCAAGUCGUCCAGUAAGGGCUUAGUUUAGUGGCCAAAAAACCUCUUCUAAGAGCAAGCGUCAGCUUUGGUUUCGCUGGUUAGGUUUUUUGUCUUUCUUCAACCUUGCCUUGAAACGGAAGGCACUACAACUAUCUCUUUUCUUUAUUUGGUUGAAAGCUUUGCCGAGAACUAGACUACCAUAGGAAUCCUUCCGGAGAGGGGAAACCCUACCUUAUAAAGAGAAGAGCGUGACCAAAGAAAAAAGAAAAGAAGAAAUUCCGGUGAGAAAAGCAUUCCUUUGACCUUCACUCUUGAUGGUUGAAUGUUCACAAGACAUGUGACCAUGACUUAUAGAAAUGCGCAGAUUUGGUAGGUCUCCCGUGAAUGAAGUGAAAGAGAAGUCGCCUCUCCCGCAGCGAAUAGGAAUGAAACGGCUAUAGCUCCUAUAUGAACUACUGGGAAGAUCAUAGCGGAGAAGUCGAGACCUAACAAAAGAAGUAAACCUGAAGUGUCGCGAAAGACUAGGAUGAGAAACAAAACGGAAUGUACCGGAUUUUUAGCACGUGCAACCAUCAAACCAGAGACCAAAGCAGGGCUCGACAAAACAGAAAGUAUCAUGGUACGUCGUCCUUCCCUGAAAUGGAACUUUCAUGCUGGAGCAAGAACUAGCAUGAAAGUCGAUCUAUUACGACCAGCACGGUUGUUCGUAUUUCAUUUUCUUUUUCCCUUAGAAAGCACUCACUUUGUUACUUACGGAAUCUCAAAUCUUUCUCGACGCCGAGAAUUUUUUAUGUGUCUAGGUCGAUCAGAGGUUCGGCUUGCUUCUCCCCCUUGGAAACUGGCUAAUCAAAAGGGGGCAUUUUUAGAAAAUGGAUCCUCAAUAAAUAGAAUAUACUACUGUGAAAUAUGAAUAUUUAACAAAAUGUUGAAGCUUCAACAUAAAUAUAAUUUUUUUCUUACACAUCGUAGGUGGUAAAUUAGUGGAUUUUUUAUUAAAAUAGGAUAAAAAAAAUAAAAAAAACUAAAAUAAUACAAAGCAAAAAUUAUGUACCAAAAUGGUACAUUUGGGGUGGUGCCACCUACGGCAGAAGCGUGACCACUAGAGGUGUGCAUGGGCCGAGAUACCCGGCCAGGCCCGAAGGCCCGCCAAAAAUGUGGGAGGGUUUGGACAAAAAUAUAGGCCCGAAAAAUGGGCUUGGAAAAAAAUAAGGCCCGUUUAAAAAAUGGGUCGGGCCUCGGGUAGGAUAUUUUCAGCCCAGCCCGGCCCGAAUUCACUAAAGGACAAAAAAAAUCUGCAUAUUUUUUUUUAUUUUUGAAUGUUAUUUUCUUGUUGUUUUCUCCAUAUUUUGCUACCAUUUUACUAUUAUGUUGCUAUUAUUUCGUUGUUAUUGUUUGGAUAUUGUAUAAAAUUUAUUUUAUUGUUAAUUUUCUUAUUAUUUUAAAGGCAUUUGUUAAUUUUUUUAUUAUUUUAGAAGUAAUUGUUUGUUAAGUUGCAUUUAUCUUAGUGUUAUUUAAGUCUACAUAUUUUUUAAAUUUUAUUUUCAAUUUGUUGGAAAAUAUUUAUUUUGAUAUUUUUAGUAUUUUUGAUGUAUUAUAUAUAUUUAAAAGAAUAAUAAAAUAAUAUAAAAAAUUAAUACGAGCGGGGCGGGCCGGGCCCGAGUUUUAGUAUUUUUAUCCGGGUCGGGCUUAGGAAAAAUUUUAGGCCUAUUUUUUGGGCCCGGCCAGGCCCAACCCAAUAAAUGGGCAUGAUUUUUUAGUUGAGCCCGACCUGAACCCGGCCCGGCCCAUGAACACCUCUAGUGACCACCCCAUGUCAAAUAAAAAAUUCUAUUUAAAAAUUAAAAAAAAAAAAAAGCUGGCAAAGAAAAAAACAAAAGCUGGUAGAUCGAGGGGGUGCCAGAGGCGGCACCGGUUGUGCCUCUAGCAGAGGUGGCACCGGUUGUGCCUCUGGCAAAGGCGGCACCUCGUUUUUUUUUUUGGGUUGGAGACCUUCUUCUCUUCUCCUUUUUUUCUUUCUCCUUCUUCUUCUCUUUGCUGCUUCUUGUUUCUACUGCUGAAACAUGGGGGAUCUUAUAAUAGUCCCCAACACAAAACAACAAACGGGCUACUGCAUGAGCCGUCCCAUCAAGGUGCCGCCUCUACCAGAGGCACAACCGGUGCCACCUCUGCUAGAGGCACAACCUCGAUCUGCCAGCUUUUGUUCUUUUUUUGCCAACUUUUUUUUAAACUUUUUGUUUUCUUUUUAAUUUUUUAAAUAGAAUUUUAAUUUGACAUGGGGUGGUCACACCUCUACCAUAGGCAGCACCACCCCAAAUGUAUUAUUUUGGUACAUAAUUUUUGUUUUAUAUCAUUUUGAUAUUUUUUUUAUUUUUUUGUCUAAUUUUAAUAAAAAAACCCUAAAUUAGUAAUCUAGUAUAAGUAAAUUUAAUUGGAGGAAGGUUGGGCAUUGAACAAUGAACAACAAAGCAAUCGUGGUAAAAAUACGAAAGUAGAACCAGAAAAAAGGAAAUUCCGUAGGAAAGGGAAAGGUACCUAAUGUAAACACUCUUCUCCCUACGUCUAAUAAGAGUAAAUAAAGUCAUGAAAUUUUGGGCAACUGUGAUAAGGAUAGGGGGCCACGUUUUUAAUAUUGGUGGACAAACGAGAGAUGCCCUACUUCUGACUUGGGAACCAAAAUUAAUCUGUAGCCGUCUGACUUGAAUGAGUCUAUGGUCUCUGGGGGCUUAGGCUCCCCUGUCUCAGUUACAGACUAUUCCAUAUGAUGUAUUUUUUUUUAAAUAAUGAUUUUAAGAAAUAGGAAAUAUGAGUCAGGGUCAAACUAUACGACUCCUAAUUAAACAACACGGUUAAGCAUUAGCGGCUGAUGGUUGUAAUGAACCCAUUCGGAGGUUGGAAGAAUUUGGUCAUGCUCGUCUUUUCUUGGUUGGAAAAAGAAAAAGUAGAUUGAUUAGAGACGACCCCUGGAUUCUGUUAAAUUAGUACUCACAAACAUCUAAAAAAAAAGUAGAAAUAAUUUUAAGGAAAAAAUUAUAUAUAUUUUUUGCUACAUAAAAAAACCUAUAUUUACUAUACUUUAUUAUUUACAUUUUCUAUAGUAUAUCUAAUUAAUUCAUGUUGGUUUACACUAUUAUAUGAUUCGACAUGUUUUCCUUUUGAAAGUAUUAUUCUACAUAGACGUGUCAUUUCGAUAAUCCAAUUAAUAUAUAUAUACAGUCUUAAAUUAAAAGACUGGAGUUCGAGUGCUUUUUCUACAAUAUAUUAUAUUUAUUGUAAUUGCAUUCAUGAUUAACAGUAAACAUUUUUUUGGUAGAUUUAAAUAUUAUGAGUGAUGUGGUUUAUGAUGUAACACCACCAGUUCCAAAACUAGAUAGAAAUAGAAACAAAGUGACUUAUUGAUUUAAAAAGUUAGAUAAAUACCGUAGUUAAUAUUUAAAAAUUAAAAAGAAAUUAAAUUUUAUAUUUAUAUUUAAAAAAACUUUUUUAUAACAAAGAGAAGAGGAAAGUGGAUAUCCAAAAAUUAAAUCUCAAUUAAUAUAAAUUAAAGAAUUGAAAAUUUUUAUGUACUUAUAAUCAUCAACUUGAGAACUAGAUAAGGUUCGGGUCACCCACCCGCGACCCAGAAGUUCACAAGGGGAGCUCGCAGUCUCAGCUAGCACAUGCCAUGGGGUGCUCACAAGGGGACCUCGCUGUCUCAGCUUGCAUAUACCUAAGGAGUUCUCAUGUGGAGGCCACGAAGUCCAAUAGGUAGCCUAGAACAGUACACGUCUCCUGCAUGUAUAGAGUUUACUAAGAAGGUCAAUUCUAUGACAAUAAUCAUGUAUAUAAUUAUUCGAUUGCCCUCUUUAAUAAGUCACAACGAAAAAUUACUCAACAAUUGGUGCGAUGAACGUGGACAGACUUCCAACCAACAGAUUUCUUUCAAGUUUGAGAAAAAUUACCAGGAGUUAGGAUGGCUCACCCAAAUGAGAAUUUCCCCUUCAAUCUUUCAUCUAGACAAGCUGGAGCCUUGGGUUUUGCCAGUCAACCUAAUGAAGUAAACUUGUUUCCCAGAUAGUUCGUCGAUCGACUGAAGAACUUUAACAAUGCGGUUUAUCAGGGAGUUUCUGAUCCAUUGGACUUGAACAUAUCCUCUAGGCACGAGCUACCACUUCCUUUAAAUAAAAAAAGCAUCGCCACAAUAAUUUUUUACUCUCCAGGAGAAGAUAAAGUUUAUGAGAGAACAAAUGGCUACGCAAGAGGCACGAUUCAAGCAACAACAGACUUUUCAGUAAUAGUUACUAAAGUAGAAUGAGGAGUUAAGAAGGAAGGUACACCUUGACAAUUCUGAUUUUUAUGAUAAUGUAAAUAUGCAAUAUGAUGGUUCAGGCAUGCAUGCAAGAGAAUGGAAAAAUGAGAUGGACUAGUUACGAUGAGACGUGAGAGCGUUGCACCCUGAGUCCUAGGAUAUGGAUUAGCUUUUUUGUUCUAAUAAUCCAUUGGCCCUUAAGAUAGCAAUAGUAAACUUAUCACGUGAUUUAAAGUCCCAAAGGACAUGUUUGAGAAGAGAAGAGAUCCACGAGCCCACUUGAUGCAGUACAAUGAUUAUAUGGAUAUGUUGGGAGUGUCGGAUUCAACAAAAUGUAAAGCUUUUUCCACGACACUUAAAAGAAGUGCGAAUGACUGGUACUUCUCCCUUCCUCAAGGUUCAGUUCGAAGUUUCUCCCAAUUGGGCCAGAUGUUCUUAGGAAAAUUUAGGUCUCACAGGGUGAUCAUGAGUACGCCUACGAGAUUAAUGUCCGUGAAAUAGAGAAAAGGCGAUUCUCUCUAAGAUUAUGUAAAGCGGUUUCAUACAGUGACUUUGAACACGAAUAAUUUAGAAGAUUAGUGGGCUAUAAAUGCUUUCAUAAUGGGGAUACAAAAUGAUCAUGUACAGUAUUUCUUUACUGAUAAUAGGCCACAAAGUUUGACAAAUCUAUACGAGCGAACCCACAAGUUCGCAAAGGUAGGGGAGAUUAAAAAGGCAUUAUGUGGCACCUUUCAAAAGGAAAACAGACAGUUUAAGAACAGAGAGGAAGCUUGCAAUAGGCAUGACCCUCCUAAUUAGUCAUUGCAAACAAGAGGUGAUAGGCGAUAGGGAGAAAAGACGCAGAGUGAUUCUCCUAGGGCUUUUCAAAGGUCUCAAUUAAAACAUACUAAGAAAUACAUUCCCUAGGGUAGGUUCGAAGUGUACACUCCUUUGAAUGCUACACAUACUUACAUUCUAAACUAGGUGAAGAGUUUUGGUAUCAGGCUUAAACCAUCUUCAAUGAGGCAUAACACGAGAAGUUCGAACUGAAAAGAUAGAUGUGUCUUUCACAAUGACGUUGGGUACAAGACUGAAGAUUGUUUCACUUUAAAAGAUGCUAUCGAAGAAGUAGUACAAAAUGACAAGCUAGUCGAGUUUGUUGAUCAGGGUGUUUCCUAGCAGGGUCAGAGCUCGUGUGGUGAUCCUAAGGGUAAACAAAAGGUUAAAUGUAUAAUCCAUGUAAUUGUAGGUACAAAUAAAGAAUAUAUAGGUUUCAGUGAAAAAAGGAAGGCACAUAUGAGAAAUAUGAUGUAUGUUAGCGCUCCUAAGAGAUCAUGUCAGUGGGGAAAAUAGAGCGUUGAAUUUGGUAAUAAUAAUGAAGAGUUGGUAUGCGACUAAAAGAGUAAUGAUCUGAUGGUUGUUUCUGCGAAAAUCGUAGGUUUUAAAAUUAAAAGGAUACUUGUAAAUAGUGGAAGUGCAGUGGAGGUUAUAUAUUGGGAAACAUAUUAAAAAAUGGAGUUGAAAGAGUAAACUUUGUCCAGAGCUAGCUCGUUGUAUGGUUUUGCGAACCAUCUAGUCAAGAUAAAGGGCUCAAUCACUUUACCUGUUCACUUUAGAGGAUGGCGAGCACACGACUAUGAAGUACGUUCAGUUUUUGUUGUAAACCAUCCCAUGGUGUACAAUUCUAUAUUCGAGCAUCCAAUAAUGAGAUGAAAAAAAUUUUGGUUGUAACGUUCUGCAUGAAGAUCAAAUUCCUAACAAGGACAAUGGUUGGGUUCUUACAAUUAGAUUAGCGAACUGCGAGGCAAUGCCCUAUGUUGUCUGUCAAACAAGCGUGUGAGCUCAUAGUUAGAGGACAGAAUUCACAAUGGACAAAAACUUUAAACUUGGAUAGCCUAGAUAUGAGCGAUUAAGAGAGAAGUAAGAAACUCGAAACAGUAAAGCAUACUGAGACUUUACAGCUAUUCAGUGAUAAUAAAGAAAGAACUAUAAAGAUUUCAUCAGUGUUGGUAACUAAGGAAAAGAACAUAUUGGUUUACUAUCUGAGAAAGAAUUCAGAUAUUUUUUCUUAGUUAGUAGCAGAUAUGCUAGGGGUGAACCCCCAGGUAAUCGUCCACAGGUUGAAUGUACUCCUAGAGACAAAGCCAAUUAAGCAAAAGAAGAGGAAGUUCACUCCGUAGGUGGUGGAAACAAUAAGACAAGAGGUAGCUAAACUGUUAUCAGUAGUUUUUAUUAGGGAAGUUAAGUAUCCAAAUUGGGUCUCGAAUGUGGUUAUGGUGAAGAAAGCAAAUGGCAAAUGAAAAAUGUGUACCCUAAGGAAAAUUUCCCUUUACCUUCGAUUGGCCAUUUGGUUGAUGCCUUUGUAGGUCAUAGGUUCAUGAACUUCUUAGACACUUUCUUAGGUUAUAACUAGAUUUUGUUGGAUCAGGGUGACCAAGAAAAGACAAAUUUCAUCAUUAAAGAAGAGUUUUUCUACUAUCGAGUUGUACCUUUUAGUCUCAAGAACAUGGGAGCAACUUAUCAAAGAUUAGUGUACAGGAUUUUUAGAAACCAAAUAAGGCACAAACUUAAGGUAUGUAUAGAUGACAUGUUGGUGAAAAGUGGAUUUAUGAAGGAGCAUGUGUGGAGCUUGUCAAAAGCGUUCGUAGUUUUGAGGGCCCAUAAGAUGAAAUUAAAUCCUAAAAAGUGUGCGUUCGACAUGUGAGCUGACAGAUUCUUAGGUUUCAUGAUUUCAGAAAAGAAAAUAGAGGUGAACCUAAAGAAGAUCCUGUGCUUCUUGCGCAUGUCCCUUAGAGCAGCUCAUAGGUCCAUAACUUUGUUAAUUUCUCAUGAUAUAUUGGUAGUUUCCUCAGAGGCGUCUUCUGAACUACGAGUUGUACCUAUACCACCAACAAUCCCAGUAUCAAAAGGAUCAAUUAUCAAAUUAAUAUUAGUAUCGCUUUCUACUUGCGAGGAGAUCACCUGAAUCUAGGGGCGAGGCCUUAUCCUAUAGUAACUGUAAAAGAAGUUCUUGGUUUCCUUUUUAAAUCUUGUUAGAAUUAGACCCAAGUCAUCAUUGGUGUCAUUUGCUACAUAGGGCCAUGUCUGUCUUUCAAGGUCUGCACCUAAAGCUUCAGAAACUUCCCUAUUGUCACCUCGCCUAUAUCUAUCGAGGCUAAAGUCCUCUAAACAAAAUUGAAAUACGUUUCUCACGGUUAUAAGAUCUUCAAUAAUAGGAAAUUGCUAGCACGAAGCCUUUACAACUGGGCUGAACUACCAUUUGUCUUUACAGUUCGCCUGAAUGAACACGUGUCCUUAUUAGAUGCGAACCACUCUGUAGGAAAACUAAACCCGUCUGUGAGCCUACAUCUCACCCUAAUAUAUUUUCUCCAGUUCAGCCAAAGAUUAGCACAUUUGUUCGUAAUUAUGGUCUCACCUUUAUCAUAAGGAGAAAAAUUGUAAAAGCCCGAUGAGUUCCCUCGGUUUUGGGCCUUUAAUAGAUAUAAGCUUUGGAACACCACGAGCCAUGGUGCUUUGUUAUGUUGGCAGUAAUCAAUAAAAUAAGCCAUUGUGGUCCACCAAGAGAACCCACAGAGUUAACGAAGAGCAAUCUGGUAAUCUUGAAGAAGAUGAUAGAAGAACGGAUACAAGGGCAAGUGGAACUUUACUUCUAGAGCAUGGAGGAGGAGCAAAAAGCUAUCAUCACUAGUAUCACUGAGCCUGUGAAGCCUCUUAGGGAUGGAAAAUUUGCAAGUAAAAUUGGGGAUUUGAAUCUCCCGUGCACUCAAAACUCGACCUAUUUCUUCAUAUUUUGUAGCACAGAUGAAGAAAUUGGCUUCUAUAAUGACCUUUGAAGCACACUCUCGCGGUGGACAACAGAGAAUUAUUCGACCAUCAGCACUCCUCAUUUUCGACAUGUUUUUUUUAUGUAGAAAGAAAAGAAAAGGAAAGAAGAUGUUACCUUGAAGAAAAUCUCAAUCAAGCCUAUUUGUAGGAAAUGUUAAGAUUGUGAGUUUAGGGUUUCCAAAAACCUCUUUUAAAUAAGUUUCUCUUCCCUGUGUUUUGACAGUUCAAAUGACCGAGAAACACCAAUGGUCAGAUACAAACAGACGCGAUCUAUUCGUACACGUGGAAAAGUUAACGUCAUGUCCCAGUAGUUGCUGCGUACUCAGCAAGGCUAUAUAAAUGGGAAGUGAUGGCUCUAAGGAGUGCCACUUUAUAGCCUUCUUUAGACCCAAUAGAGAGGAUUAGAUUGUUAUGUACUUAUAAUCACCAACCUAAGAAUUAGAUAAGGUCUAGGUCGCCAACCCGCGACCUGAAAGUUCACAGGGGGAGCUCACAAGGGAAGCUCGCUGUCUCAAAUCGCAUAUAUCCGAGUUCGUAUAUGGGGGACACGAAGUCUAGCAAGUAGCCUAAAAUAGUACAUGUGUUGUACAUGCAUAAAGUCUACUAAGAACAUCAAUUCCACAAACAAUAAUCAUGUAUAUAAAUAUUCGAUUAUCCCUUUUAAUGAGACACAAUGGAAAGUUACUCAACAAAAAUAAAUUAUUUUCUAUGACAUCAGUGAUUCAAUCAGUAGUAAAAGAGAGUGUUUAUUUGGUGUUUUGAGUUUAAAUUUUAUUAUACGCAUAUAUAUUUUUAGAAUUUAUUUGUUAUUUAUUAUUUACCAUUUAAAAAACUUCAAUAAAUUGCUUUUAUUUUGUUUUUCUUUGGAAUUUAUUUAUUAUUUACUAUUUUCAUAAUCGAGACCUAUGAAAAUUAAAAAAAAAAAAGGCGCUAUUCAUUUAUAGCUCUAGAUUUAAGUCUAAUAAAAAACGGAAUGAAAUUUCAAAUUUGAUUUAAGAGUCCGGUUGAUGGGUGCGUAAAGGCAAUACUUAAAGUAAUAUUUACCAUAUAAAAAACUUUAAUAAAGUGCUUUUAUUGAUUAAAAAAUUGAACAUGAAUUAUAUUUUUUGAUUUAUUUAUUUUAUAUAAAGGCAAAGGAAAGGCACAUGCGUAACUUUUUUUCAUUUGUUCCUUCACACGCUUUUAUCCGAUUACACCUACACCCAAAACAAAGAUGAGAAGAGUAAAUUUAAGACGGUUAAGAAAAUUAGUUGGCAGGAAAUCUAGGAAGUUUCAGUUGGGGGCUGGCAAUUUGAAUGUCAAAACCUCCCCCAUUGCACCUGUCCAUUCACCCAUUCAUCCAUUCAUCUAAUAUAUAUGUUUAACUUUGUUCCAGGGUACUAUUUGCAUAUUAACUACAUUUUUCUUUUAAAUAUUUAUAUAGCGAAAAAAAAUCAGAACCCAAAUUCUAAUUUCAAUCUCUGCUCAUCAAAACUUAGAAACAGUAGAAACAUUUUUCUAAUAUCUUCUCUCCUUUUCCUUCAUUUUCUCUGUUUCUUUCCCCAGAUUUUUUAAAAUUUUACGAUUUCUUUUCUUCUACCAAAAAGUAGUACAGAAAAAAAGGAUAGAAUUCUUUUCUUUUUUUUUUUUUGGGGAAACUGAAAUUCAUCGUUCAGUUUCAGGUCUUUUUUCCUUCAAGUUUUCUAUAUUUUUUUUUCUGUUAGUAAGGCAAUCAAGAAGUUCGUUCUCUCAAUUCUCGAGAGAGAAGCAUAAACUUAUUUCUUGCAUAUUUUCAGUUAAAGAGGAGAAGGUGAUUUUUCUCGUGAUUUAGAGCCAUUUUAAAUACAGUUUCAGUUUCCAUCAGAUCCUUUUCAGUUGUUCUCAAUUAUCUUUCCAUUCAGGUAAGUAAAUAUUUGUAGUUUCUUUUCUUUCAUUUAGCUUAGUUUUCCGUUUGUUUCUCGAGGAAAUUCAUCGUCUCACCUGCAGCCUAUAUAAUCAUUCAAUUAUUUUAAACCUUUCUAAUUAGAUUUUGAAUCUUUGAUUCGUUAUUUUAGUGUAUCCAUUUUUUGCUCGUACUUACUUACUUUCUUUUCUUUUUUAUCUGGUUAAUAAAUUUUAUUUAUUGUUUGAAAUUUAUUGGACCAAAAAAAAGUAAUAGGAAAGGAGUUGAAUCUGAGAUUUUUAAAGGAAUAAAACCUGAUUUUAAGCAAACUUUGAGGUCAGGUUUAUGUUUUUGGUCAUUUUGUUCAGUAUUAUAUUUCAACCUAAGCAACGCAAGGUUAUGCUAUUAACUAAAAUAAAAUAAAAUCUCGGUAUUGCAGUUUUUUAAUUCUACAAUUGUCGGAUAUUAGUUAAAAAAGAAAAGAAGGGAAAGACACAUGUCUACUUGAUUAUGGAGUUAAUAGAAUUUAUGAUAGGAAUUUCUCUGGUUUUGUGAUUGUCCGGCGACCGUGAUCUUUUGUCCAGGGGAUAGCACAUGGUUGCUUACUUUGUUGCGUUAUGUGGAAGAGGUUCUUAGACGCUUCUUAUGGGGAUUCUUACAUCUUUUUACAAUAUAAUAAGAUCCUUGGGUUAAGUGUUAAAGGCCGGAGUAAUUAGCUUGUCUUUUCCUGUCUGCAUAAACUGGUAAAAUUGAUUCAACUAGGAUAUCAGCUUGGAAUUAGGUGCCAUUCCCAUGAAGUUGCUGUUUGAAUCUCAGUUCUUGUUGGUGUGCAUCUUGGUUUCUUUUAACUGUAACUAUUGUUUUGCUUCAUCAUUUUAGUUUUAAUAAUAAAAUUUGUUAUUCAGGUCCUUUUGCUGAGGGUCUCUCUUUGUUUCAUGGAGAAUGGGCAACUGAAUGCCUGCUAAUUAAUGCUCAAAGCCUCUUGCAAUCUGAAUUGCCCAUAGUUUGUUGUGAAUAUACAAUUCAGACGAAUUUUUAAAUAGAAUGGGGAUCUUUACACGCAGGUGCAUGACUUAUGGCGCCCUUUUAAUUAAAAAGAAUAAAGUUUAUAUUGUGUCUUAUUGUGUAUAUCUAUAGAAAAGGUUACUUAGAUGUGGAAGUUAUUUAACUUUUAUUCCAUCUUGGUGACUGCAGUACGGUUAGUAGAAAGCCAAAUGAGAGCAUGAGGCUUAUUGUGACAACAUUUGUUGGAGUAGUUUUUGGCUUCUUAAUUGGAUUAUCUUUCCCAAAAUUGUCAUUAACAAAGGUAGGCAAACCAUUUCCCCCUUUUAAUUUUAUUUUCAUUAUUAUGCAUCUAGCAAUAAUGAUCUUUCUCAUCUGCGUAAUGGAACUUUUGUGCUGUCUGAAUUUGGCAGUUCAAUAUAUCAUCUGGCAUUCUUACGACCAUUGAUAUCAAAUACACUGAAUAUACCAACUCAGUCCCCUCAGGCUCAACUCCUUUGCAGCAUCCGAUUGAUAAUAAUAGAAGCUCUGCUAAUGCCACAUCAAAGAAGGUAUUUUUACUGGAUCUGGAGAUACAGGUUCAUUGAACCAAAUCUCUUAAUGCUUAACGUUAGUAAAUAAAAUUUGUGGAAUAAGGUUCUGGAUAGUUUUUCACAGCAGUUUUCAGGUAUCUUCGGGAGAUUAUCGUCCUGUAAAGUUUCAAUACCUGACUGGUCUUUUCUGGUAUUACCUGUUUACCAAAGUUUUGGUAUUUGAGGGGACAGUAGAAUUCAUUGGAUAGUUUUUUUCAUGACAUUUUGUAUUCUUUGAAGUUUUAAAGAGGGAGUGGGAGUUUUUCCUCGGGGAAACAAGGAUAGUGUGGUUCACAUGCCAUUCAAGCUCCUGAAUGUAGGAGCAUUUUCUGUUCCAUUUCAUGCAAAAAUAAACCUGAUAGUUC